rnacentral:rRNA from 1 species
UAGUAAUCGUAGGUCAGCAUACUACGGUGAAUACGUUCCCGGGCCUUGUACACACCGCCCGUCACACCAUGAGAGUUGGAGAUACCCGAAGCCUGUGAGCUAACUUUUAGAGGCAGCAGUCGAAGGUAGAAUCAAUGAUUGGGGUGAAGUCGUAACAAGGUAUC